UAAACAUUGUUUAUUUGUUGUUUUGUGAUACAUUUUUAAAACUACUAAUGUUUUUCAAACUAGUAAAUCUUUUCAAAGCCCCCCCUUCUUCGUCUCUCUGUAUUUUUUUAAAGCCCCCCUUUCAGGUUUUAAAGAAUUUAAAUCCUCCCCAGUUACUCCUCAAUCCCCCCUGUACAAUAAAAAAUGAGCGGUCCCUUAGGUCUAAUUAGCCAUUCCGAAGUUGAUGAGAGGACUGGGGACGAGUGUUAAAAAGUGCCCAAAUUAAGAAAUAACCAAAUCACUAAAAAGACCACCUCAAAAUUAGUAAGUAUACAAAGUUUGAAGACUUUUACAUGAAUACCCUUCGAAUAACAAGCUUUCGAAAAUCGCGAUAUUUACUAUGAAAUGUAUUGUAAUUUGUGUUUUUGGGACGCGCGUCCCAACACAAUUUUCGAAAGCUUAUUAUUCGAAGGGUAUUCAUGUAAACGUAUUCAAACUUUGUAUACUUACUAAUUUUGAGGUCGUCUUUUUAGUGAUUUGGUUCAUUUCUUAAUUUGGGCACUUUUUAACACUCGUCCCCAGUCCACUCAUCAACUUCGGAAUAGAUAAUUAAUACAUGUAUAAAAUUCACGCUCGAAAUUUCCAUCGUUACAAUUAUCGUUAUCGAGUGUAGAUGCCCAUCGGCCACAUCCUGUUAUCAGGAAACACCAUUCAAAUAACUUACUUCAGUACAUUCUUUUAUCAUGCACGUUUUCUCUACCUGUAACUAUUAUACUAAUCACUGCAAUGUCACCGCUACAGCCGAGCUGUGCUCACCAGACACCCGCAAUUUGCCCACUGUCUUGGCAACAACUUCAAUUUUUUUAACUCCUUGUCUCUUUGCAACCGAUGGAACAUGUAAAGAUGAAGUUGUGGAUCCAUAUGGAUUGGGAGGCUAUGGUGGUUUUCCAGGAUUUCCAGGAAAAUAAAAACUGCCCAUGCAUGCAACAGACCUUGCGUGUAUAAAAUGCCAAGCACGUCGCAAGAUUAAUGGGACAUAUUCAUGGAAGUUUUAAAAUUAACAGUAUAACUGAUUAUCGUUUCAAUUCAGUAUGUACAUUUAAGGAGGACUGAAGUAGACAUAGGUAAAUUAUGCACAUGCGUAUAUGUGGAGAUUUUCAGUGUGAACAUUCAAUUGUGUAAAUUAUAUAAUCUGAAAAUAGUUUGGUAUUAAAAGGAUAGACUAAACGGAUUGUGUAUUUUUAUUUGAAAUAGAGUCGCCCGCAAGGUUUAUCUGAAUAUCUGCCACUCCCAUUAAGCCCCCCCCCCCCCCCCC